rnacentral:rRNA from 1 species
UUUGGAAGUAAAAAUCGUAACAAGGUCUCCGUAGGUGAACCUGCGGAGGGAUCAUUACACAAAUAUGAAGGCGGGCUGGAACCUCUCGGGGUUACAGCCUUGCUGAAUUAUUCACCCUUGUCUUUUGCGUACUUCUUGUUUCCUUGGUGGGUUCGCCCACCACUAGGACAAACAUAAACCUUUUGUAAUUGCAAUCAGCGUCAGUAACAAAUUAAUAAUUACAACUUUCAACAACGGAUCUCUUGGUUCUGGCAUCGAUGAAGAACGCAGCGAAAUGCGAUAAGUAGUGUGAAUUGCAGAAUUCAGUGAAUCAUCGAAUCUUUGAACGCACAUUGCGCCCUUUGGUAUUCCAAAGGGCAUGCCUGUUCGAGCGUCAUUUGUACCCUCAAGCUUUGCUUGGUGUUGGGCGUCUUGUCUCUAGCUUUGCUGGAGACUCGCCUUAAAGUAAUUGGCAGCCGGCCUACUGGUUUCGGAGCGCAGCACAAGUCGCACUCUCUAUCAGCAAAGGUCUAGCAUCCAUUAAGCCUUUUUUCAACUUUGACCUCGAUCAGUAGAUCCGUA